GUAGGGUAUGCGGCACCAUACGGAUACAACGCGGCAGCUGCCGCUGCGCCAGCUUACGGUCUACCCAAGAGAAUGCUCCUGUUGCCAGUUAUGAAAUUCCCAACUUUUCCAAUGCCCCAUUAUUCGUUCUUUUAGCCUUCGGCUGACUCCAACCCUCUCUUGACCGGCUUCCAUAAACCCAAGACAGGAUGUUAGAAGGAAAUGAGAUAACAGGACACACAGCUAGCCUACCUACCUUUUAAUCCUGGUUUCUUGGAAACACAAACACACUUGAGCAAAAGCAUUUGUAAAAAAAAAAAUAUCCAUCUUUUUCCAACUUUUUUUAAAAAAUUUAUUUUAUUUUAACGAAAUGCAAACUUAGUUCUCUCUUAAAAACUUGAAGAAGGAAAAAAAAAACCAACAUACAUGAAACUAUGGUCUGUGAAAAUGGUUACCUCAUUUUUUUUCUUCCCCUUCACCUCCAAAUAUAUAUAUAUAUACAUACAUACAUACAUAUCUCAACCUUAUGUGAUAGGGAAGAAACUUUAGAUGCUUUGUUUUUAACUGAACGGAAUUCCGAAUUAUGUAAAACCUUAAAACUUGUGAAGGAUGUAUAGACUAUAAAAAAAAAACUGAUCACAAAAUAAAACCAGUUUUUGUUGUAAUAGAGAAGUUUUUUUUUUUUUUGCCUGUUUCCUAAUACCAACCCCUUGGGACCAAACUUUAUAAUUUUAGGAUUAUGGGAUGCAGUUGCGUUUUUGGCUCGGGAUUUAUUUUUUUUAAAAGAAACUGACAU